rnacentral:lncRNA from 1 species
UCCCUAUUUUCUAGAUUACAACUAGAACUAACUAGAACUAGAACUAGAUGAACUAGAACUAGAACUAGAUGAACCAGAGGGAUCCUCUCUACUUGGAUGAAGAAUUGAAACCCUAACUUUGAUUCUGUAGAAGAGGUAUGCCUCCAGAGGCUAGGGGGCCUUGCUUAUAUAGUCUUUUCAGAUGAAUCUGGGCCGUCGGAUCAAACCGACAUUAUUCGCAUGGUUUUCCUUGAUCCCU